rfam:Dendroctonus ponderosae Seq01028124, whole genome shotgun sequence.
UACACGGUGGCAGUGUGGUUAGCUGGUUGUGAAAUUCAACCACGACCACUAUCCAUACUUCCCUCGUGUG